rnacentral:rRNA from 1 species
AUUGAACGCUGGCGGCAGGCCUAACACAUGCAAGUCGAGCGGUAGAGAGGUGCUUGCAUCUCUUGAGAGCGGCGGACGGGUGAGUAAUGCCUAGGAAUCUGCCUAGUGGUGGGGGAUAACGUUCGGAAACGGACGCUAAUACCGCAUACGUCCUACGGGAGAAAGCGGGGGAUCUUCGGACCUCGCGCCAUUAGAUGAGCCUAGGUCGGAUUAGCUAGUUGGUGAGGUAAUGGCUCACCAAGGCGACGAUCCGUAACUGGUCUGAGAGGAUGAUCAGUCACACUGGAACUGAGACACGGUCCAGACUCCUACGGGAGGCAGCAGUGGGGAAUAUUGGACAAUGGGCGAAAGCCUGAUCCAGCCAUGCCGCGUGUGUGAAGAAGGUCUUUCGGAUUGUAAAGCACUUUAAGUUGGGAGGAAGGUAGUAACCUAAUACGUUAGCUAC